AGUGAACGCUGGCGGCAUGCCUAACACAUGCAAGUCGAACGGCAGCACGGUAAGCUCGUUCCCUUGCUGUUGGCGGCGGGCGGAUGGGUGACGCGUACAUCGCAAUCUUCUUUUUCGUGGGUAAUUUCGGGGAGCCGCUGCCACUAAUACCUCAUAUUAUCUACCGCUGAGUUCAAAGGAUCUUCGGAGCUUUGCCGAUUGUAUUAGAUGAUUCGGCGUUGCAUUAGCUAGUUGGUAAGGUAACGGCCUACCAAGGCGACGAUGCAUAGCUGACCUGAGAGGAUGAUCAGCCACACUGGAACUGAGACACGGUCCAGACUCCUACGGGAGGCAGCAGUGGGGAAUCUUCGACAAUGGGCGAAAGCCUGACGCAGCAAUGCCGCGUGAGUGAAGAAGGCCUUCGGGUCGUAAAGCCCUGUUAUUGGGAAAGAACAGAAGUAGAAGAAACCCCGCACAUUCUGACGGUACCUAAACAAAAAGCCACGGCUAACUUCGUG
rnacentral:rRNA from 1 species